rnacentral:rRNA from 1 species
AUGGCGAGCGGGGUGGAUCGCAUCAGCGCCCUCCCGGAUGACGUCCUCCACCAAGUGCUCCACUUCCUGCCGUCUCAAGAGGUGGUGCGGACAUGCGUGCUCGCCCGGCGCUGGCUCGGCGUCUGGAGGUUCAUGCCCGCCUUCCGCUUCAACGGCGCCAAGGGGUGGGGCAGCGCCGACAGGUUCGCCCAGUUCGUGGACCACCUCCUUCACCUCAGAUUCGGGGGCGACGGCGGCAGAUGCGCGCCUCUGGAUUCCUGCGAUUUCGACUUCGAUUCCGACGGGUUCAUGCGAUUGCCCGCUAACGAGCAGCAUGCGAGCAACUGGAUCUGGAAAGUCGUGCCCAAUGUACGGAUGCUCCGGCUUCGCGUGGUCGAGUUUGGGCAGGAACCCUCGCCACUAUCUGAUCUGCAUCUCGUUUCCCAGCACCUCACCAAGUUAGAGCUUGUUGGUGUCGGUGUGAAAGACAGCGUUGUUGAUUUUUCAGGCUGUCCGGCACUGGUGGAGCUGAGUAUGGAUGUUUGUGAUGUUUUUGUCAAACAGCUGUUGUCUCCAUCCUUGAAGCAUCUGCGCAUUACCCGCUGUUAUACCUCUGAGUACACUCGCAUCCUUAUUUCUGUACCCAGUCUCGUUUCGCUUGAGUUGAUCGAAUGCCGCCAAGGAAGGGUUCCAUUGCUUGAAAGCUUGCCGCGGUUAGCGAGAGCUGUUGUUGUGCUUACCGAUGAUUGUAGUGAUCGAUGCUCGAAGGGUCGAUUUGAUAAUUGUGGUGCUGAUAUCUGUGAAGAUUGUUGGUGGUAUUAUGGGGAUCCUGAAUAUGGGCCUAUAUAUGACCGCAAUAACAGCAUCUUCCUCAAAGGUUUAUCUGAAGCUACGGACUUGGAGUUGUCGUCUGAUUCUGAGUUGAUUCUUUUCGAUAGGGAUUUGAAGUGGUGCCCUACAUUUACCAAGUUGAAGACUUUGUUACUCAAUGAUCGGUGUUUGGCUGCCGACCACAAUGCACUGAUUUGUUUUCUCCAACACUCGCCGAUUUUGGAAAGGCUUACUCUUCAACUUUUUAAGGGACCUUCAUAUGUGACUGAAACAGAAGGAAUGUACAAACCAUUGGGACUGUCAGUUGCAUCCAACUAUCUUAAGACCGUUGAAAUCAGAUGUGCAAAUGUUGAUAGUAAGGUUCACAGACUUUUGAAGAUACUGACUACCUACGGUAUACGCCUUGAGCAAAUUAGGGUCCAACAAACUAGCAAAAUUUCUGCACCUGGAUGUUUCCAUUUUGUUUGCAGUAGUUUCAGCUAA